rnacentral:lncRNA from 1 species
AAAAAAAAAAUUAAAAAAAAAAAAAAAAAACCAUCUGAUUUAUCCUUGACUCCUCUUUUUCCUUUCACAUGCCAGACCCAAUUCAACUACAGAUCCUGUUGGGUCUCCCUUCAAGAUACAUAACUAUCUCCACAUCCUCUGCUAUUUCACCCUGGUCCAAUCUGAAACAUUAAAGAAUCAAAUCUCACUUUGAUUUGCCUCUCUGUAAAUGUAAAUAAAUAUUAAAAUGCCCAGUACUACUUUUUCUAGUUUCCAUUUUGUAUUUUGAGCAUCAUCUUUAAAACAUUCUCUAUAGGUAUUUUAAAAUAAAAACCUCAAAAUGAAGAAUACUAAUUAUUUUGUGAUACAGCUUCUGCUCUUCGUAGAUAAUUCAAUUAAAACAUCACAAAAUUCUUAAAUAAAUAAUACAAUAAAAAAUGUAGUAAUUUCAAACCUCUAAGUUAUAAUUUACUGAUCAGUCUUAUCAGUACAAGCUGUAUUGCAUCAAACUAACAUUUCUUCUACCACUAACUGAGGAGUGAUCCUUUACAUUGUAGUAUCAUUUCUACAUCUUUUUGUUUUUGUUUUUUUCCUUGCUUUUCUUCUGGUGGAGAAGUAUUAGGACCAUGAAAAUGAAAAGCCAAAGAGGAGGAAGAAGACAUGUGUUACUUAGCCUUUUACGCUGAUCUUCACUAACCCAUGUUUUCAUGAGCACCAGAUUCACCAAGUUUUCAAAGAGGAACAGCAAGUGUUUGAUGAUGAAGGAAGUUUGGAUUUAAUUUUCACUUUGAGACACAUGGAUACUAUUCCCUGAAAAAACAUUGCAUUCUGAGGAUGUUCAAGCACUCUUUCUCCAGAAGCUACCAAUAGCCCCAAAUGCAUGGGAGGCUCUAGUGCUCUGAGAGCUGUCAAAGCAAAGAUGUUAGAAACCAGCUGCCUCCUUUAUUCAUCCUUUGAGAUCAGACUAAGGUGUUGGUGGACUUCCCUGCCACCAAAUCCUUAGAGCAGCAACUUGCACACAGAAUACGCUCUUAUAGAAAAAUGAUACAAAUUAUAUGAGACAAAAGAACAUCAGUAAUUAGAAAGAUAACUGGUCCUACAGUUUACUGAGCACUUCCCAUGUACUAAGGACUAUUUCAGUAACAUCUCAUAUGUUGUUUAAUUUCAUCUCCAGAAUAUAAACAAGCAGACAAUUGUGGUCCCUCCUUAGAGGAAUGGCUUCAGUGAAGCAAAGUUAUGAAGAACACUCGAAAUCUUUAAGACAGUUCAAAAUUACCUCACAGACAAAUAUUUUAAAAGGUUAAGGUAGGAGCUUUCGAAGCACAGUGAAUUCUAUAUAGGACAUCACUCAUUGAUCUAUUAUUGCAGUCCUUUGAAUAAGCAUUGAGCCCAAGACUCUCUAUAGGUAUGACCUGGAGGUAGCAAUAAUCUUGUCAGCAUCACUAAAACUGCUUCUUAACCAUCCUUAAGUAUUUAUUGUGCAUCAGAAAUUUCAGAUGCACUGGAUUUUUUUUUCCAGAACUCCUGUGUUAUUUAACACGUGUCCUCCAUUUAUAACAUGUGUAUUUUGAUUUUUUUUUAUCAAGAAAAAUAUUUUCUGGGUAAUUCUUCCUCCGCUGUAAUGACCAAAAUUUUGCUAUUUUCCCUCUAGAACUGGAACAAUGAUUAAUGUAGCAGCAGAUGUUUCUAAUUCGGAAUGUCUUAUAUUCUUUCCAGAGAAAGAAAAAAUUUAAACUUAAGUAACCGCUCUUUAUCACUGGAUCAAAUGGUGGAAGAAAAAUAUCACCCUUACAAGGUACCUCUUCUUCAUCUUUGUUUCUUUAUUCUGCAAAUUUUCUAAGUUCAGUCUUGGAGAUGGCAUCUACCAAUAGUUCACAUCAUGGGUAUUGCCCAAUCCUUCCUCCAAAGGUCAGAGUAGACUAAACCACAAAGUUGAUCUUAAAUAAGAAAUCUAAAAUGUAAGCAUCAUAUUCUGUGUUGGACAUUUGCUGAUUCUGGCAGCCUUUUAUCACCUUCUUUCGGUUCUAGUGCCCGGCGUGUGUUUCAGGUAACUACCCAUCACCCUGUUAAGGAUCUCAUGUGCUUUAGAGAAGUAGCUCGAUGAGUGGCACAUGUGGCUUAGGCCUAAUCUAACUAGCAUUAGGUUGGUGCAUGAGCAGUUCAGAGAGACAGUAGCAUGACCUAAAAUAGUAUAACUAGAAUGAAGACUAUGACUUUAAAUAUUUUUAAUGUUUAUUUUUGAGAGAGAGAGAGGGGAGAGAGAGAGAGAGAGAGAGAGAAUGAGCAGGGGAGGGGCAGAGAGAGAGGGAGACACAGAAUCCGAAGCAGGUUUCAGGUUCUGAGCUGUCAUCACAGAGCCCUACACGGGACUUGAACUCACAAACCGCGAGAUCAUGACCUGAGCCAAAGUCGGAGGUUUAACCGACUGAGACAUCCAGGUGUCCCAAAAUGAAUCCUACGGCUUUAAAUCAAAGGUUGAGGAAAUAGGACACAUGCAGUACAUUAAUGAGGAAGCAUGCAGCCUGAGAGCUGCUGGCACCAUUUGGAAUGACCAGAAAGAAUCUCCUGAGGCUGGAGCUGAGAUUUUUGGGGGUUGUUUAUUACAUAGCAUUACGCCAACAAAAAACCUAAGCAAUACACCAUAAAGGGUAAUAGAUCAGGUUCCAGAUAACUGAGGUAUAUCCUCCUGACUUACCCUUAUAUUAGAAUAUUACCAGCAAAAUGUAAGAUAAGCUGUACCAAGACAGGAUGAUGCACUUUUUUUUUUUUGGAGAAAUCUUUAAAUUUUAUUUUUUUUAAUUUACAUCCAAAUUACUUAGCAUAUAGUGCAACAAUGAUUUCAGGAGUAGAUUCCUUCAUACCCCUUACCCAUUGAGCCCAUCCCCCCUCCCACCACCCUUCCAGUAACCCUCUGUUUGUUCUCCAUAUUUAAGUCUCUUAUGUUUUGUCUCCCUCCCUGUUUUUAUAUUAUUUUUCUUCCCUUCCCUUAUGUUCAUCUGUUUUGUCUCUUAAAGUCCUCAUAUGAGUGAAGUCAUAUGAUUUUUGUCUUUCUCUGACUAAUUUCGCUUAGUGUAAUACCCUCCAGUUCCAUCCAGAUAGUUGCAAAUGGCAAGAUUUCAUUCUUUUUGAUUGCCAAGUAAUACUCCAUUGAGUAUAUAUAUAUACCACAUCUUCUUUAUCCUUAGGAUGAUAACAUUUUUAAUGCUAGAAGAAACAAGUUCUCAUCCUGGCAAGGUUACUGAGCUAAGAGAAUUUGAACCUGAUACUAGUGGCCACCCUCCCCCCGACACAAAGUGGAGCUUGUUGCAGGAUGGAGCUAAUCAGAAACAAAGUGAUGAAAGGCAGGUAGAGUUAGACAGAGAAAGAGAACAAAAAAGCAGAAAGGCAGAAGGAAAAGCACAAGUGCAAGAGAAAGGAACAAGUGAGCAAAGAAAACAGAGAAAGAAAUGAAUUAGAGGAAUCAGUUUUGUAUAGCUAAAAAUUGUAACUUUUGCACACAUAGGUUACAUUGAUCCUAUGGCUGGCAUUUUUCAAAUAUGAAAUACAGAUAUAGAAAUUAUGAGUUUACUUAUUCAGCAGUUAGCCAGUGCCAAACACUGUUAAAUGUUCUCAUUAAAAAUCUAUAAGUCAUUUGUAACCCUAAGAGAUUGUUACAGUGAAAAAGCUUAACGUGUAAAAAAAAUAAAAUGUGAUGUGUAAAAGCCAUCAUAUAAAGAAAGAUAGUAAAGGCUUUGGGAAUAGGAAAGAGAGAUCAACUCUGUAGAUAAAUGGUGGUGGGUAAGUAUAUAGAAAAAUAGUUCAUAUAAGAUGUAGCUAAAAACUAAAGGAUACAUUGCAAUUACUUAGUAAAUAAAUUAGGAAUGAAGCUAAGUAGAAAGCUUGCAUUGGUAUCAGAGACUUUAACAUUCAUGUAUGCUAUUAAUACACCUCACUGAUUUUCUUCAAUGUUUUCUUUCUCAUUAAAGCUUUAAAUUUUGGGGCACCUGGGUGGCUCAGUCGGUAAGCGUCUGACUUCAGUUCAGGUCAUGAUCUCACGGUCUGUGAGUUCAAGCCCCGCAUCAGGCUCUGUGCUGACAGCUCAGAGCCUGGAGCCUGCUUUGGAUUCUGUGUCUCCCUCUCUCUCUACUCCUCCCCAACUCACACUCUGUCUCUCUCUCAAAAAUAAAUAAACAUUAAAAAAAAAAUAAAGCUUUAAAUUUUGCUAAACAUUCAAGGUUGACCUGUGUGGGUGUGUGAUAUUAGGAAGCUUCAGCCAGAGAUUACACCACCAACUGUAUGGAAUGACUCAGUCAGCAGCUGAAUGACUCCUGCUCCUUGUUCCUUUUCCAAAUACUUCCUCAUUAUGUCUAAAAUAUUUCAUUCCCUUUUGUCACCUUGCAUGAAAUCAAUCUAAUUAGAGAUUCAUUUGAAUAAGCAAGUUCAUUUUUCUUUUUAAAAAAAUUUUUUAAACAUUUGUUUUUUGAGACAGAGACAGAGAAAGAGUGGGAGAGGGGCAGAGAGAAAGGGAGACAGAGAAUCUGAAGCAGGCUCCAGACUCUGAACUGUCAGCACAGAGCCCAAUAUGGGAUUUGAACUCAUGAACUGUGAGAUCAUGACCUUAGCUGAAGUCGGAUGCUUAACUGACUGAGCCACCCAGGUGCCCCAACAAGUUCAUUUUCCAAAAUGAAAAGAUAAGGGUGUUGGGGUUGAGGGGAGGGGUUAUAGUCAUUUAUGCCUUAGUAUAGUUUAAACACUUUGCUUCUGUCUAGUCAGGUCUUACAGUGUACAAGAGACAAAUCCAGUGCAGGUGGCAGUGUUGUGAAAUGGUCAGCACUCUGAAUUUUCUUACAGUCAGAAAGAUCUGGUUUGAAUCUUGUCUCUACCACUUUACUAGCUUUAUGAGCUUGAGAAAAUUAUUUAAUGUUCAAGGUGUCUCAGUUGUCUCCCCGAUACAUGAGAGAAAUGUGUUGACCUGCUAUUGUUAUAUAAUGUACACAUAUUGACUGGCACAUCCAGAGCCUGGUUAAGCAAUGAAUAAAUGGUAGCUAUUAAUACUAGGAUGGAGAAAAAGAGGUACUUUUGUAGCAAAAGCAAUGAAAUCCUGGAUGAAUGUAGGAAAAAAAGGCAUACUUUGUGUUUUCAGUACUUUUGCCUAAGAUAGCAACAUGAUGAACGGUGGUAGAGUUGAGGUGCAAAUGUAUGAUCAUGUGUCCAGUGUUCUUUAUGAUAAAAAGAUCACAUACAGUGAAUUAAUAUUGCAUCAAUAUCUGAUCUCUUCCAACGAUUCUUUCUGGAUUUUUGUUUUAACUAACUGUAACUUUUUUCUUAUGACUAGUCCUUACAGAGGUAGAUAACAUGGGUGCUUAAGGGAAAUGAGAGUGUCUUAAACAAAGGUGAAUGUUUAAAAGUUCUAGGUCACUUUGCAAAGCCAUAUCCUAUUUUUUUUUUAAUUCAAGUAUAAUUAAGUACAGUGUCAUAUUAGUUUCAGGUAUCGGUAUCCAAUAUGCUGAUUCAAUUCUAUACAUUGCUCAGUACUCACCCCUAUAAGUGUCCUCUCAAUUCCCUUCACAUAUUUCACCCAUUCACUCACCCACCAGUUUGUUCUCUAUAUUUCAGUUUGGUUUUUGUUUGUUUGUUUGUUUGUUUUUUCUCUUUUUUUCUUUGUUCCUUUGUUUUAUUUUUUCUUAAAUUCCACUUAUGAAUGAGAUUAUAUGGUAUUCGCCUGUCUCUUAGCGUUAUAUCCUCUAGAUCUAUCCAUGUGGUUUCAAAUGACAAGAUUUCAUUCUUUUAUGGCUUAAUAAUAUUCCAUUGCAUGUAUAUAUACCACAUCCUUUUUAUUCAUUCAUUUAUCAAUGAACACUUAGAUUGCUUCCAUAUUUUGGCAAUCCAAUUUUGGCAAUGCUGCAAUAAACAUAGGGGUGUGUAUAUAUUUUUGAAUUAGUGUUUUGUGUAUUCUUUGGGUAAAUUCCCAGGAGUGGAAUUAUUGGGUCAUAUGGUAGUUCCAUUUUUAAUUUUUUGAGGAACCUCCAUACUGUUUUCCACAGUGGCUACAUCAGUUUGCAUUCCCACCAACAGUUCACGAAAUUCCUUUUUCUCCCACAUCCUUGCCAACACUUGUUAUUUCUUUUGUUUUUGAUUUUAGUCAUUCUAACAGGUGUGAGGUGAUAUCUCAUUGUGGUUUUUAUUGGCAUUUCCCUGAUGAUGUUGAGCAUCUUUUCCUGUGUCUUUUGGCAGUCUGUAUGUCUUCUUUGGGAAAAUGUCUGUUCAGAUCCUCUGAGUAUUUUUUAAUUGGAUUGUUUGCCUUUUUGGUAUAUAGUUGUAUAUGUUGUUUAUAUAUUUUGGCUACUAACCCUUUACUAGAUAUGUCAUUUGUAAAUAUCUUCUCUCCCAUUCAGUAGGUUGUCUAUUUGUCUUAUUAAUAGUUUCCUUUGUUGUGCAAAAGCUUUUUAUUUGGGUGUAAUCCUAAUAGUUCAAUUUUGCUUUUGUUUCCUUUGGCAAAGGAGACAUAGCUAUAAAAAUGUUUCUGUAGUUCAUGUCAAAAUGAUUGCUGCCUAUGUUUUCUUCCAGGAAUUUUAUGGUUUCAAGUCUCACAUUAAUGUCUUUAAUCCAUUUUGAGUUUAUUUUUGUGGGUGGUGUAAGAAAGUGGUUUAGUUUCAUUCUUUUACAUGUAGCUGUCCAGUUUUCCCUACACCAUUUGUAGAAGAGACUGCGUAUAUCUGCCUCCUUUGUCAAAGAUUAAUUUAGCAUAAAAGUGUGGGUUUAUUUCUGGGCUCUCUAUUCUGUUCCAUAGACAAUAUGUGUCUAUUUCUGUGCCAGUACUAUAAUGUUUUGAUUACUACAGCUUUGUAGUAUAUCUCUAACAAACAUAGAUGCAAAAAUCCUCAACAAAAUAUUAGCAAACGGAAUCCAACAAUGCAUUAAAAAAUAUUUCACCAUGAUCAAGUGGGAUUUAUUCCAGGGAUGAAAGAGUGGUUCAAUAUUCACAAAAUAAUUAAUAUGAUACAUCAUACUAACAAGAGAAAGGAUAAAUACCAUAUGAUCGUUGCAAUAGACGCAGAAAAAGCAUCUGACAAAGUACAACAUCCAUUCAUAAUAAACACUUUCAACAAAGUAGGUUUAUAGAGAACAUACUUCAACAUAAUAAGGGCCAUAAAUGAAAACCCACGGCUAACAUCAAACCAAUGGUGAAAAACUGAGAGCUUUUCCUCUAAGAUCAGGAACAAGAAAAGGAUGUCCACUGUUAUCACUUAUAUUCAACAUAGUACUGGAAGUUUUAAGCACAGCAGUUGGAAAAGAAAAAGAAAUAAAAGGCAUCCAAACUGUUAAGGAAAAAGUAAAACUUUCACUCUUUGCAGAUGACAUGAUACUAUAUAUAAAAACCCUACAGGCUCCAACAAAAUAUCAGAACUAUUAAGUGAAUUGAGCAGAUUUACAGGAUACAAAAUCAAAACACAGAAAUCUGUUGCAUUUCUAUACACUAAUAAUGAAAUAGCAGAAGGAAAAAUUAAGAAAACAUUCCCAUUUACACCAAAAAGAAUAAACUACCUAGGAAUAAAUUUAACCAAGGAGGUGAAAGACCUAUACUCUGAAAGUCAUGAAACACUGAUGAAAGAAUUUGAAGAUGACACACAAAAAAAGGAAAGAUAUUCAAUGUUCAUGAUCAAAAGAACCAAUACUGUUAAAAUGUCCAUACUACCCAAAGCAAUGUAUACAUUUAAUGCAAUUCCUAUCAAAAUACCAGUAGUGUUUUUCACAGAACUAGAACAAACAGUCAUAAAAUUUGUAUGGAACACCAAGAGACCCCAAAUAGUCAAAGCAAUCUUGAAAAAAGAAGAACAAAACUGGAGGCAUUACCAGAUCCUAUUUUGAAAGCACUUUAUGGCUUACACUUAAAAAAUUCCCCUUUUAGAUACAGGUAUGCUGUUUUGAAGGGAUACAUGCACCCCCAUGUUUAUAGCAGCACUAUCAACAAUAGCCAAAGUAUGGGAAGAGUCCAAAGGUCCAUCAAUGAAUGAAUGGAAAAAGAAGAUGUGGUUGGUAUACAUAUACAAUGGAGUAUUACUUGGCAAUCAAAAAGAAUGAAAUCUUGCCAUUUGCAACUACGUGGAUGGAACUAGAGGAUAUUAUGCUAAGCAAAAUCAGUGUCAGAGAAAGACAAAUAUCAUAUGACUUCACCCAUAUGAGGACCUUAAGAUACAAAACAGAUGAACAUAAGGGAAGGGAAGAAAAAUAAUAUAAAAACAGGGAGGGGACAAAACAUAAGAGACUCUUAAAUAUGGAGAACAAGCAGAGGAUUACUGGAGGGGUUGUGGGAGGGGGGAUGGGAUAAAUGAGUAAGGGGCAUUGAGGAAUCUACUCCUGAAAUCAUUGUUGCACCAUAUGCUAACUAAUUUGGAUAUAAAUUAAAAAAAUAAAUAAAUAAAAAUUUCCCUUUUAAAAUACAUGCAUAUUGAGUACAAACUGAGCCAGAGGUGUUUUUUGUUUAGGUUGUUUGUUUGUUUGUUUGUUUGUUUUUGCUUGUUAUCAACAUGUUAACAUUCCCCACCUGUCCAUUUCAGAAGGAUGAUGGGGCCUAUCCAUGUUGUAAGUAUGUUUGACUCUUCCACAGGCAGCCCACUGUGCUAAGAGACAAAAUAGGGAUGUUCUCCAGAUUCCUUCACACUGGUUAGACCAAACUCAAACCCAUACUCUUGAAGAGUGAUAGAGUUAAAUUGCAUUUUGAUUUGGGUUUUCCCCCCAAAAUCUGGCUAAUGUAGUUAAUUGACAGAAACAACUAUAUUUUCUAAUCAGAUAUAUAACUACAAACCUCAAGGCAAUCUUUCUCUUGCCAGUAGCAAAGUAAUUACCAUAUUAACAGCAUUCACUCAAUAUCACCACUGAGGAUUUCUCCCAUAAAGCCUGCUGGAGAAAAGUGCCAGGCCACAAGGCAGUUUAAUACAACCACUUCUGCCUUCACUCUGACUUUGUAUAAGUGUCAAUGCCCACACUAUCUGGUCUAUUCCACCUAUGAAAGGCAUGGGUUUGUUUAUUUCUGCUUUUCAGUUUCAGUGUAUAAUAGUAUACCAUGGUGCAAUUGUUUAUGGGACUAGUGACUCCACAGUUUUAAAGCUUAUACUUCUCUUUUGAAUACAAAAUAUUCAAAUAUUAUUUUGUGCAUCUGACAGCGUUGGCCUCUGCCCUGACACCAUAUGGAAUUAUUUUUGGCUCCCCAGGCUCCAUCUUGCCCUCAGACAUUGCUUAUACUGAGCUGCUGGGAACCCAGUCCACUGUUCCUCAACUCUUUUCAUGAGUCUGACCCCUCCCUGUUCACCAUCCAGGUACCAGUUCAGUUAAGCCUUCCCUAAUAUCUCAGUUCUGAGUUAAAUGGCAUGCAGAUGUGUACCCUCCUCACGUUACAUUUCAACUGCUUCUUAGUGGAAUUCCCCAAUAGACUGAGUUUUCUGAAAUCAGAGACACUGUUUUGUUUAUAAGAAUGCCUUUGGCAGCUGGAAGGAAUACUGCUGCUUUUCAGUAAAUAUUUGUUGUAGCACAUUUCAUUUUUUUUUAUCAUAGUUAUGCGUUUCUUUCUGUGCUAUGGUAAGCAUUUGCUCCCUUCACCAAAUAACUUUGGUUAACUUUGAUGGCUGUGUGGUUUGCUUUAACAAAUGGGAUGUGAGCAUAUAUGACAUACAGCAUAUCUUGGCAGAAGCUUUAGAAGCACUAGCAUGGUUUGACACUCCUCCUCUUCUUUCUGCCUUCCACAGUCAGAAAACCAUCUUUCAAAUAGUGUCUACUCCAAAAUUCAACCAGGUAAAUAUGAAGAUCUCAUUGGCUUUGUUAAGGAAUUCAUGAAUCAGACAGCAUCCCAUGUAGAAUGUAGAGGGGAGUUGUACAAAAUGGAAGGUGUUUAUAGGAAGGAGAAUAAGGCAAUGAAAUUAUUAGCAAAAGAAAAGGAGUGUUUCAGGCAAGGUCAGGAGCAGAAGGUCUUAUUGUGCAGAUUAUCUCAUUUUCCUUUGGAGGAUGGAGAGGAACCACAUGGCCAUUUACUUCAUUGGGGCUGAUCAGAAAAUUCCAAACUGACAGGUUAAAACUACAUCUCCAGGGGAAAUUGAAACUGCAAUUAGAUUAAGGAUUAAACCCCUGUUUGGAAACUCAGCCUAAAUGAUACCAUUUUGGAUCUGUGGCUUUCUUUUUAAUAUCUCAGAAUUUAUUCAAAGAGAGAAGAUGUGCCUUUCAUGAAGAUGGUGCAGAAGGUAAAGAAGGAAGCCCCUGCCCCUCCCAAAGCCAAAGCCAAAGCAAAGGCUUUGAAGGCCAAGAAAGCAGUGCUGAGAGGCAUCCACAGUCAUAAAAAAAAAAAAAAAAAAGAUAAUCUGCACAUCAUCUACAUUCUGACAGCCCAAGACACUGCAUCUCCGAAGGCGACACAAAUAUCCUCAAAAGAGUGCCCCCAGGAGAAACAAGUUUGACCACUAUGCCAUCAUCAAGUUUCCCCCGACUACUGAGUCAGCCAUGGAAAAAAUGGAAGACAGCAACACUCCUGUGUUCAUUGUGGAUGUCAAGGCCAACAAACACCAGAUCAAAUAGGCUGUGAAGAUCUAUGACAUUGAUGUGGCCAAGGUCAACACUCUGAUCAGGUCAGAUGUAGAAAAGAAAGCAUAUGUUUGACUGGUUCCUGACUGUGAUGCUUUGGAUGUUGCCAACAAAAUUGGGAUCAUCUAAACUGAGUCCAGUUGGCUACAUUUGAAUAUAAAUUGUUUCAUCAUUAAACAACAACAACAAUAA